rnacentral:rRNA from 1 species
CCUACGGGGGGCUGUAGUGAGGAAUAUUGGUCAAUGGACGCAAGUCUGAACCAGCCAUGCCGCGUGAGUGAAGAAGUAUUUCGGUAUGUAAAGCUCUAUCAGCAGGGAAGAGAAUGACGGUACCUGACUAAGAAGCCCCGGCUAACUACGUGCCAGCAGCCGCGGUAAUACGUAGGGGGCGAGCGUUAUCCGGAUUUACUGGGUGUAAAGGGAGCGUAGACGGUUCUGCAAGUCUGAAGUGAAAGCCCGUGGCUUAACCGCGGAACGGCUUUGGAAACUGUGGAACUGGAGUGCUGGAGAGGCAAGCGGAAUUCCUAGUGUAGCGGUGAAAUGCGUAGAUAUUAGGAGGAACACCAGUGGCGAAGGCGGCUUGCUGGACAGUAACUGACGUUGAGGCUCGAAAGCGUGGGGAGCAAACAGGAUUAGAUACCCGAGUAGUC